ACUCUCAUGAAAACUGUAAUAAAAGGACGAUUCGCAGACCGUUUUCGUUACUCACAGAAGCUUAAACAUGAAGGUUUUCAUUGCUCUUCUCUUGGUGGCGGUUGCAGCUGCAAGCAGUAUCUCGAGGGAGGACUGCCCACCGAAUAAAGAGUACGGUUCCUUUGGCGAUUGCCCAGCCUCAUGCUAUUCUCUUGAGCACCCAGUGAGGGCUUGCACACUGAAGUUGAACUGGGGCUGCAAGUGCAAGGCCGGUUACGUUCUGAGGGAGGACCAGGUUUUCACUUCAGAUUGUAUCAGACCCGAAGAAUGUCCAUAAGAUGAACUUGAAAUUCUUGAAACACUUCUCUCAUUAUUAUUGGUACCUUAUGUUCAUUUGCAAUGUAACUAAAUUUAUGAUUUAAAUUCCAUUCAAUAAAAGUGUAAAAAUCUGUCA